AACGAGCGCAACCCCUAUCUUAUGUUGCCAGCACGUUAUGGUGGGGACUCGUAAGAGACUGCCGGGGUCAACUCGGAGGAAGGUGGGGACGACGUCAAGUCAUCAUGCCCCUUAUGUCCAGGGCUUCACACAUGCUACAAUGGCCAGUACAGAGGGCUGCGAGACCGUGAGGGGAGCGAAUCCCUUAAAGCUGGUCUCAGUUCGGAUCGGGGUCUGCAACUCGACCCCGUGAAGUCGGAGUCGCUAGUAAUCGCAGAUCAGCAACGCUGCGGUGAAUACGUUCCCGGGUCUUGUACACACCG
rnacentral:rRNA from 1 species